GGCGACAAUAAUAAUACAUGUAAAUCGCAUAAAUAUUCAAAAUGUUUCUGUGUAACUGGUUUUGGUUUGUUCUUCAAAAUUCCGCCAAAGGGCAGUGUCUGGCCUGAAUAAGAACUGCUUGAUUGUGAAGACGUGCCUAUACUCUAAGAUCGAUUAUGAAUAAUAAGAAUUCAUGAACCUUAAGAAAUCUGACAUACCAAUAAUUGGCAUUUCUGACGCGAAAUUUUCAAUUGGAAUUUAUCCGUUUCAGAUCCGUUCAUCAUCCGUUUUAUCCGUUAAACGUCCGGUAGAAGUCCGUUGGUG
rnacentral:lncRNA from 1 species